rnacentral:rRNA from 1 species
AACCGACCUGGCUCACACCGGUUUAAACUCAGAUCAUGUAAAGUUUUAAAGGUCGAACAGACCCUCCUUAUUAGCUUCUUCACCAACAAUUAACUUUAAUCCAACAUCGAGGUCGCAAUCUAUUUCAUCGAUAAGAACUCUCAAAAUAAUUACGCUGUUAUCCCUAAGGUAAUUUAAUCUUAUAAUCUACUACUAGGACCACUUACUUACAAAUCAAUAUUUAAAUAAAAAAAAAGUUUAAUUAAUUUUUUUAUCACCCCAACAAAAUAUACAUAAUAAUCUUAAUAUAUUAAUUCCUAAAAUUUAUUGAUUUUAAGGUAUAUAAAACUCUAUAGGGUCUUCUCGUCUUUCAUAAAAAUUUAAGCUUUUUAACUUAAAAAUAAAAUUCUAUUUAAUUUUCUAAGAGACAGCAAUUUUUUCAUCAAACCUUUCAUUCAAGCUUUCAAUUAAAAAACUAAUGAUUAUGCUACCUUUGCACGGUCAAUAUACCGCGGCCAUUUAAUUCAUCAGUGGGCAGGUCAAACUUAAAAUUAUACUCAAUAAGCCAUGUUUUUAAUA